GAUGAACGCUAGCUACAGGCUUAACACAUGCAAGUCGAGGGGCAGCGCAGUGUAGCAAUACAUGGGCGGCGACCGGCGCACGGGUGCGUAAUGCGUAUCCAACCUUCCCGUUACUCAGGGAUAGCCUUCCGAAAGGGAGAUUAAUACCUGAUGGUGUUCAAAUUCCGCAUGUUAUUUGAACUAAAGAUUCAUCGGUAACGGAUGGGGAUGCGUGACAUUAGAUAGUAGGCGGGGUAACGGCCCACCUAGUCUACGAUGUCUAGGGGUUCUGAGAGGAAGGUCCCCCACACUGGAACUGAGACACGGCCCAGACUCCUACGGGAGGCAGCAGUGAGGAAUAUUGGUCAAUGGUCGGAAGACUGAACCAGCCAAGUAGCGUGAAGGAUGAAGGUUCUAUGGAUUGUAAACUUCUUUUAUACGGGAAUAAAACCUCCCACGUGUGGGAGCUUGUAUGUACCGUAUGAAUAAGCAUCGGCUAACUCCGUGCCAGCCGCCGCCGUAAGAC
rnacentral:rRNA from 1 species